AGGGUUCGAGUUCUGGCUCAGGAUGAACGCUAGCGGCAGGCUAACACAUGCAAGUCGAGGGGCGAUCGCGGGUAGCAAUACCUGGCGGCGACCGGCGAAAGGGUGAGUAACGCGUGAGCAACAUGCCCGUGUGGGGGAUAGUCGAUGGAAACGUCGCGUAAUACCCCGUAACACGAGGGACCGCAUGGUUUUUCGUUGAAAGAUUCAUUGACCACGGAUUGGCGUCGCGUGCCAUUAGGUAGACGGCGGGGUAACGGCCCACCGUGCCGACGAUGGCUAGGGGUUCUGAGAGGAAGGUCCCCCACAUUGGAACUGAGACACGGUCCAGACUCCUACGGGAGGCAGCAGUGAGGAAUAUUGGACAAUGGCCGGAAGGCUGAUCCAGCCAUGCCGCGUGCGGGAGGAACCGGCCCUAUGGGUUGUAAACCGCUUUUGCGAGGGAGCAAUAAUCACUACGAGUAGUGAGAUGAGAGUACCUUACGAAUAAGCAUCGGCUAACUCCGUGCCAGCCGCUGC
rnacentral:rRNA from 1 species